GGGAGCGGGCAGACCUCGGGCACCCAAACCCCGUUUCCCAGCAGGCAGAAAAGUUUGCCCCCACCCCAAAACAAACGAAAAAAAAGCAGAAUUCCCGUGUCUAAGCCGCCGCUUCAGACUUCUUCGGCAGAAAAGCAAAUAAACGAAGGAGCAGCGCGGCAGCCGAGGGGCCGGCGGGUGCUCGGGCUACUGACUGUGGCAUCGGCCUGACAGGUUAAAGCAGCAGCCGAUCCGUUUAAAAGGAAGACGCAUCACGGGAAGGAACGGCCCAGCUGCGUCCGCGCCGCAUCAAGGGUUCAUCCGUCACUCCCAGGCAGGUGCGCUAGAACCAGCUUUUACCUCAAAGAUUAACGUCUCAAGUCGUGGUUCUAGCAAAAUCUCAAUUAACAACAGAAUCGGAAACUUAGUUUAUACCCAGCUGCGGAGAGUUCUUGGCGACUUUUCUAGCAAAAGGUCAGGUGUUGGGCACGAUGUGAAAUACUGUCGACCUUGGUCUUGCUCAAGAGCAGACAUGACAUCAAAGACUUGUGAGCACCACUGGAUGCUGGAUAAAACACAGAAAUUGAUAUAGGGUCAUGAGACAGAUUUGUUUUGCCUGAGAGCGCUUCACGCUUUCCUAACGGCUUCUCUUAUGAUUAACUCAACAUUUAUAAACAACGAGAGUUGUAAGAUGGAAUACAAGGCGUUUAACUUGAAACAUUGUCUCAAACAGAAAGGAGAAGUUAAAGCAUUGAUGCGAAAUUCAUCAGUCUUUCUAAUGUCUGGCGGUGCUAGGAAACCGCAAACAAGGCAGCCUUUGCUUUAAACAGCCUGUGCAGUUUUAUUUAAUGUAAAUAAAUAAAUUCGUGUUUGACAGAAA